rnacentral:rRNA from 1 species
CCUAAUACUCCACCCUUUGUUUACAUUACCUUUGUUGCUUUGGCAGGCCCGUCCUUGUGACCACUGGCUUCGGCUGGUCCGCGCCUGCCAGAGAACCUAAAACUCUUGUUUAAUCAUAUUGUCUGAGUACUAUAUAAUAGUUAAAACUUUCAACAACGGAUCUCUUGGUUCUGGCAUCGAUGAAGAACGCAGCGAAAUGCGAUAAGUAAUGUGAAUUGCAGAAUUCAGUGAAUCAUCGAAUCUUUGAACGCACAUUGCGCCCUCUGGUAUUCCGGGGGGCAUGCCUGUUCGAGCGUCAUUACAACCCUCAAGCUCUGCUUGGUAUUAGGCCUCGCCCGUUAGGGCGGGCUGUAAAAUCAGUGGCGGUGCCAUUCGGCUUCAAGCGUAGUAAUUUUUCUCGCUUUGGAGUACCGGGUGUGUGCCUGCCAGCAACCCCAAAUUUUAUCAAAGGUUGACCUCGGAUCAGGUAGGGAUACCCGCUGAACUUAAGCAUAUCAAAA